GAUCAAAUAACCUUGAACACACCGGUUCUCGUUCGAUCACCGAAGUUAAACGAAGUUGACCCAGGUCAGUACUGAGAUUAAACUUGGGAAUACCUGGUACUGUAAG